rnacentral:rRNA from 1 species
UACGUAGGUGGCGAGCGUUACUCGGAAUUACUAGGCGUAAAGCGUAUGUAGGCGGUUGUAUAAGUCUAUGGUGAAAUUUCCUGGCUCAACUGGGAAGGGACAUAGAUACUGUAUGGCUUGAGUGUUGGAGGGGGAGACGGAAUUCCUGGUGUAGCGGUGAAAUGCGUAGAUAUCAGGAGGAACACCGAUGGCGAAAGCAGUCUCCUGGCCAAAUACUGACGCUGAGGUACGAAAGCUAGGGUAGCAAACAGG